rnacentral:rRNA from 1 species
GACGAACGCUGGCGGCGUGCUUAACACAUGCAAGUCGAACGGAAAGGCCCUGCUUUUGUGGGGUGCUCGAGUGGCGAACGGGUGAGUAACACGUGAGUAACCUGCCCUUGACUUGGGGAUAACUUCAGGAAACUGGGGCUAAUACCGGAUAGGAGCUCCUGCUGCAUGGUGGGGGUUGGAAAGUUUCGGCGGUUGGGGAUGGACUCGCGGCUUAUCAGCUUGUUGGUGGGGUAGUGGCUUACCAAGGCUUUGACGGGUAGCCGGCCUGAGAGGGUGACCGGCCACAUUGGGACUGAGAUACGGACCAGACUCCUACGGGAGGCAGCAGUGGGGAAUAUUGCACAGUGGGCGGAAGCGUGAUGCAGCAACGCCGCGUGCGGGAUGACGGCCUUCGGGUUGUAAACCGCUUUCGCCUGUGACGAAGCGUGAGUGACGGUAAUGGGUAAAGAAGCACCGGCUAACUACGUG